rnacentral:rRNA from 1 species
CGAUCAUUGCUGUCCGAAGACUCAAGCCAUGCAUGCCUAGCAGAAAAAUUUGCCCCUGCCGGCCCUGAGGGGCCGGCAAUUUAGUUGGGCUAAGGAAUCAGCGAACGGCUCCGCAUAUCUGUUGUAACCUAUCGUGGUAAAUUGGCACUUGGAUAAUCACGGAAAAGCUGUGUAUAACACAACACCCAGGGCUCCUACCAACGCACCGGCUUACCCCCGGUGAUAUUCCGUAUGGUCAAGUGGCAUCCUAAGCAUUGUUUCCCAUUGCUUAUGGGUCCCGCCCUACCCAAAAUCCUACAGUAUCCAACGGAUGGUGGACAUCGGGCAUUUACCCUCUCGAGGGCAUCUUCCCACGGGCAAUUCCCCUCUAGCCUCGGCUUUAGGGGAGCCGCCCAACCAUGGACAUAUAUCCUUGGGCUUCGGCCCGAGGGCUAUCUGUCCUAGGGCAUAAUAUCCUUGGGCUUCGGCCCAAGGGACCUACCCCCCGGGCUCCGGCCCGAAGGGUACUUGCCCCUGGGCUUCGGCCCAAGGGCUAUUUUGCCUGCGCAAAACUGUCCCCUCCGCCAAGGUGAAACGGAGGCCUCUUCUUACGCGGUACCUUCCUAACCAGAGUCCCGGGCCCCAAUUCGAUAAGGGGGGAGACGCAGCACCCGACAGUUCGAAGCCCAAAGCCCCACGGGCCAAAGCUUCAGUGAGCCUGGGUCCUCAGGGGCGACUCURAGGGUACUGGCAAGCUUCUGCCGGCCUUAGCAUGUAAACGCCACCACCCCGUUGAUGGAUCGGGGCCCACCCGGACGACGGCUGUAUUGGGCCCGUAUCAACCGGAAGAGACUAACCCUAGCGCACGAUGGGCUUCAGACCUAUCAGCUUGAUGGUAAGGUAUUGGCUUACCAUGGCAAUGACGGGUACAGAGGAUUAGGGUUUGAUCCUGGAGAGGUAGCCUGAGAAAUCGCUCCCACUUCUAAGGAAGGCAGCAGGCGCGUAACGUUCCCAAUGCUAAUAGCUCAAUGAGGACGUAAUGGGAUAUAACAAUGCCUCUUUUUGUAGUGGGCAAUUGCAAUGGGGUGGGUCUAAUCC